AUGGGGAAGGUCCUGGUAUGGUUGCUGGUCAAAACAAAUAAAUAAAAAAAAAAAUAUUUACUUCAUAAGGAAAAUCAGGAUCUACUAUAAACCAAAGCAUAACCAUUUCAGUUUUUUUGUUGCUGUUUCUUCUUUUUGGUCAAACAGAUAAAACAAUAGGCACAAACAGUACGGGGAAGUCAGAAGGAACAUGGGGUGAAUUUGUGAGCCAUAAUUCACCAGUCAGCAAACAAAGGGCAUGAUGCCAGGCAAGUUCAGCCAUAAAGGAGCCUUGUCUUGGGGGCAGGCUGUGAUUGUUUGGGGACAGAUGGCUGCUUACCAGUUCAUAAAAAUAACUUCUGGAUACCUUUUCCUCAACUGUGGCAUAUUUACCUGAAUUAUGCCUGCCUAAGAAAAGGCAAGAUUAAGUUCUCUAGUAUUGAACAGGUUUCCUGCGUCUGAAAGGGAUGCAACUUUGAAUUCUGUGAUCUAAUCUCUUGUGUGGAUAAAGGCAAAAUUUUUGGUACAGUGGGAAGGAUGAGGGUGGGAGAGGUUGGUAGCUUUGUGCUGUGGGAUACAGAACUUGCUUCUAGCCCUAGAAUCAGGCUGGUGAUCUGUAGAGAUACCGUAAUGCAUGGGAAUUCUAAUUUUUUGAGGUUUGAAUGGCUUCCUAGAAGCUUGAUAAAGUAGGUAAAGAAACUAUAAAAGUAGAUCCCCCGGUCUGUAUAAUCCAGACCCGUUCCUACAGAGCAGCCUUUUGUGCCACAAAUGAUGACACCAUUUGUGCAUAGCACGUUUUGUUUUGUGUUUGAGAAGAUGGAACUUUACCACAGGCAGCCGACUCUUUCUUGUAAGAAGAAUGUGGAGACUGUCAGAGAGGGGCCUCUGCCUAUAGCUACCCGGAGUGUUGAAUUUUCCAGAUUAGUUCUUGCCAUUGGCUGGAGUUGAUGUCUAGAUCUGACAUUCUGCUUUCCACAUCUCCCGAUUUGAAUUCCCCUCCUCUUUUCUGUCGCACUUUAAAAACCCUAUCCUUCCUGUAUUCAUAUUCUGCCUUAUUGUUUUGCAUUGGUCCUAAAAGUCCCGUAGCACAUUACUGUAAUAUUGGAGUACAGUAUCAAAGAUAGCAUUACAAUACAUAUCUAAGAGAAAAAAAUGUCUACUGCUGUGAAUGAAUCCCUUGCAGAACAGGGAAGUAGAACUUCCUUUUAUUUGUUCCCUUGGGGAAAUAGAGAGAUGAGUAGCCAGUUGCUGGCAGUCAGUUUGGCCACUUCCCCACAACCUUUUUUACUUGUUAAAUAUAUGCAUAGAAGUACACAUUUGUUAAAUAUAUACAUAAAAUACAAACAUACUGACCAUGCAACGUAGUAGCUAGUGUACAUGCGAGGUGGUGUCUCUGCUUCUGAGCCUAAGGGUUUCCCAACAAGCAGCUGCCAUCAUGCAGUUAAGCUUUACAUGUGUAGCAGAUUCUGUAUCACAUGCACAAUAAGGCUGGAUUCAUGCAACGUAGAUUUAUGCAUGUGAUUUAACGUCCUCUCGGCAAUUGAGACAUGGUGCCUAGCAUCUCCAGGAUCCUUGCGGCAGCCUUACAUACACAUGCAGACAGACACUACACAGAUGGUCAGAGUGAAAGGAUAUUAAAGUGGCUAAGUUAAGCACUCAAAAGUUACAAAAUGCCAGAAUUGGGAAAUGCUUAUGCAAUCUUAAUUCCAUCCAUACAUCUAUAUAUUGCUUUGUAAUAAUCUUAAAAUAGAUUGCAUACCUCCCCCCCCCCCCCCCCCCCCCCCCCCAGGAUGAUUGGGUUUUAUUCAGUGUAUUAAACGAGUCUGCUCUGGGGAUGAAUUAGAGUGCAUGCUGAAGAAGACCGUUGUCUGUUGAACUCUUACCCUCCUGUGUUCCUGUGAAUGCAAGAAGGGAAGACAUAAUCUCAUUGUCAAGGCAGCUGAAUGUUGCUUUGGAGUUGAUUCUCUGCCAAGGAGUGUGAUGCUGGAUAAGCCAUUUACAUCAAUCUUUUAAUAGUGGCCAGGUCAGCACUACUAAUUUGUACGUAAAUAGCUACAGUUGUCAGGUGGGUGAUGAGUUGUGACUUGUGACCAUCAUAGCUCUUUGAUCCAAACCUCCUAGUGUGCAGGAUACUUUGUUCCCCCACUUGAAAAUGUGGAAGAGGAGAUGGGGAAAUAAAUAUGUCUGUGGUUGCUAAAGUGUUCCUGUUGUAGCUGUUGCAUUGUGUUCCUCAUUCUAUGCGUUCUCUUAGGACUACACAUGUGCAUCUGCACCAAAAGCUGCUGGAAGCUGUAUCCUUUGAAUAUUCAAAGAAUAUGCAAUGCUUAGUACUAGCAAGAAUUGGGGUUUAGGUACUUUGAGGCUCUUCAGAUCUUAAUUUCUGACCACCUCAGUUUACAAUCUGUAAAAUGGGGCUAAUAUUCCUUCAGCUUACAGAACUGAUGAAAACAGUGCUUGUGGAAAGUCACGAUGUUCUUGGUGCGAGCACCGCAGAAAAAGCAGUAUCUCUUCAUCUGGCUCUUUGUCUGCCUUUUCUCUGCUGAAUUCAGUACUACGUCAGCUUUUCUUUUCUUCGCAUUUUGUUUCACUUCAUUUUACAGCUGGCAAUGUAAGGGUGCUUGUCCUUGCCACAUUGUUCAGCAUUUACUGCAGUUUGCUUAGUUGCCCUGCAUCUGUUGAGAAACAGGACUGUGGGUCAGUAACCCUUGAAGCACACAAGCUUGAAUGAAACCCUUGAAAGCACACAAGCUUGAAUGAGAAUGAUCAAGUUGGUAGGAACUUCUGGUUUUUGUUUCAGUGCAAGUUGCUGCACAAACUUAUUUUGCAUAAAUGUGAACUAUUUUAGUUGAGUUGGUAAUUUUAACCAGUUCAUUAAAUUGAAGUAAGAAGCUUUUAGACUUAAAUAAGAGCUCUACGUGGAAGAAGGGGAACAGGAGUGUGUCUUAGUGGGUGGAAGAGGGGACCAAGAUAAAUGCUCCAUCCCGCCUUUCUUCCUCCUCUUCACCCACUUGAAAGUUUAUGUUCCUUCCUCCCUCUUCUCUUCCCCCUCCAGCCUUACAAAGUGUAAUGCUUACUUUGAACCAUGGGGAAAAUCAGGCUCGUGGGACCAGCGCAAUCUAGGUUGUGAUCAGAGGACAAUGUUGGCUAGAUGGGCAAGGAGAUGAUCUCUUCAUGGCCACCUCUGUCUUUCCCUUUAUGCGAUGGUAGGCCUGCCCAAACUGGUGCGAUAUACUGCAGCAUGUGUAUAAGUGGCCGGGAUAUGGCACCCAAGGGAGCCCAGCAUGGUCAAAAGAGGCAUGGGGCAGUGCUGGAGCAGGGGAGGAAAAGAUAGUUGCCUUGCUGGCAUUUUGUUCUUGGCAGUGGGCAUGGGAAAGGGGGGGAGACUUGAGAGGGGAAGGUGGAGGGUGGGACUGGAGUGAGUGGAGAGAGCCAAAGAGGUUGUGAGAAGGGAGAAGGACUGGGGAAAGGUGCAGAAAAUAGGUAGUCAGAAAGGGACAAGGGCUAGCUUCGCUGUAUAAGUUGUCUGGUGAUUUGGGUGGGAGGAAGGGAAGAGGUAGUACAGGUUUUUAUGUGCCAGGGUGGACCAAAGGCUCUAGAAACUCUCAGUACAGCCAGUGCUAUCCCACAAACCUGCCAUUUGCAUGUCUGCCUUUCCUGUCUGCACAUCAGCUCAGUCUGGGCAGAGCCUCUCUUCCAGGGCCAUUUGCCUUAGCAGCAGGUGACAUUGAGGCCUUUCUAGGAAAGAAAUAAAGUUGUCUUAUUUGUGGUGGCUUAAUUUGCAAAGAGAGUACAUAUGGCUCUGAGAUGAGAUGUAGCAUGCUGGAGCCCAUCUUUAUAGGCAGUAACGAUGCUCCUCUCAAGCACAGGACACACUCAGUUUUCCUGUUGGAAAAAAAACCAGCUCAGUUGCCCAGAGCUGGUUCCAGCUGAUGAGUAGUGUGGAAAAGUGGUGAAUCAGGCUUCAAGCUCAGCUCCAGUGCUGGCAGGGGCAGCGCUGCUGGCGUCCAAUUUACUAGCCAAAGUUUAGCCAUCAUUUUGCCUUGUAACUGACCAUAAAUUUCACAGAUUUGAAACAUCAUUUGUAUUACAGCCAAGUAGAAUUAAUUUUGAGCACAGGGGAGGCUGUGUUUUUAAUAAAAGGUCAUGUUUCUAAGUAAUCAAGUAACACACACAUAGUGGUGGCUCCUACUGGAAGGACGGAAACAGCAAAUUAUUGUUGUAGUCAUAAGGAAGCUCAUCAGGCAAUUUGGUGUUUAGUAACAGCAUAGAUAAGGCCUGAUCCUGUAGGGUGCUGGAUGCUCUCAGCUCCUUUUGAUUUUUGACCAGUUUUGGAGGUACCCCAGCACCGCACAGAGUUGAGACCCUGAAAUAUUAAGCAAAGAGCAGACUGUAGGAAAUAAAGUACGAGAACAACUUGCUUGUUCUUAGUAAUAGCUUUUGUUGCCCAAAAACUUAGAUAUGUUUAUUUCUUGUUUGUGAUAUCCAGUUAUAAUAACCCCAUUGGUGGUCUCUGGUUUUAUUGAAUUUAUAAUAUGUGCUGGCUUUAUGUGCAGUUUCAAAGUCUUCUGCUGAUAUGAACCAGAAUUUGUGCUCUGCUUGGUUCAUGCUAUGUCUGCUGUCACUGCAGUGCCUAUAUAAACACGGUUGAUGGUAUGUAGUAGCUUGGAGUGAGAGGCUAAGAUAAAACCCCAGCUGUUUCUGAAGAUACCGCCUGCUGCUAUCAAGAGGUUCGGGUUAGCAAUUUUAAGUGUUACAAGGACCUGUAGGACCUAUGUUUUUGAACUGCUUUCCUGAAGAGCGGGUGGAAAUGUACAUGCCUGGCUAUUUUAGGAAUUGUUCUUUCUUGAGUGUGCUUAUAGUUUAUGAAAUGCGAGCCCAGGGAAUAUGGAUAAUAAAGCUGAAUUAUUGUCCUUGAGUGUUUGUAGAUUAAGGAUACUGUGCAUGAGUGAGUUGUGGCAAAAACUGAAUUAGGUUUAAAAUAUCAGCAACAACAGAGAAAGGAUGGCCCAACCAAGUGUCAGUCAUGUCAUUAUAAUUCUUAAGGGAUUUGGGUACAGCUUAAGAUUUGCCUUCUUCACUGACAUGAACACAAGACACCAGGGAGGCAGUGGGCUUGCUCAAGUCACUGGCCAGCUUCCGUGAUGCCUCCUGCUGAUCAGUCCAUGAAGAAAUAGCUAUCUGCCAAACAAGCUGUGUGUUUUAUUUCAAAGGCCCAGUGGGCCCAACCCUUCCUGCCCAGCAGCCACGGCAGGCUCCAUUCCUGCUUGGUGCCUGGCCUGGGAAGAGAUUGCUUGCUGGCCCACGAGAGUUGUUCUUUGUAAUUGGUUUGCAGGGAAUGCUAUGCGAGAGGAUCUGGCCUUUUUUUUAAUUGUUUGUUUUAUUAAAGUUUGUUUAUUAAAGCAAAUGCUGGUCACAAUGGAAACAUGUUUUUUGAAGCCUGUGUGUUGCCAAGAGAGCAGGGUAGAGCACUGAUCAGGUUAUUGCUUCCCCAGAAUCAGAAGUACACAUGCAGCUCUGCAGGCCCCAUGGGCAGUGUCCCAGCGUCUCCUCUCGUCCUUCUUCCAGUUGAGCUCUGCCAGAUCUGCUGUAGUGAUGGCUCCCCACGGCUCUACAGGCAGGAUGGUGAGCAAACAGUCCAGGACGAGGGAAUUGUGUGGAUGAGGAAACGGCGUGUGAACAUACUUACUUACCACUCUCUGUAUUCCACUCUUGCUGGAGACCCAGACUUGGCAGCUCGCUGUGAUCCAGCUGGAUGAACUGAGAUUUCUGAGGGGAAGAUUUAGGAUGGACUUCUCUACUUAGGAGAAUUCAUCAGUGUCCCGUUGCUCAUUGUCCUGCGUGCUGCAGGCUGCUACGCUGAAGAAAUGUUCUUGCAGGGCUCUUCCGUUGCCAAUCCUCAGAUCGCAGGCAUCCUGCCCCACAGCCAUGUAAAUUUUCCUUCAUACAGAUGUUCAUUGCCGUCUUUUACAUUCCUCUGCUGACAGUGAAGAGGUCAUGCUAAAUCAAACUGAUGGAGAAACUGGACAUCAUCUUUACCCAGGAUGCCCAAAUUAAUUCUACCAAAACAAGAGUAUAGUGCGACCUUUGGAGACCCAAACACUUUUCUGAAAACCAAACACUUCUAAAGAACAAGUCAUCAUUUGUGACCACUGAUAGGCCACUAGAAACGCAAAUCUGUAUUUUCAUCAGUGCAUUUUCCCAUGUGAUGCUCUGACAGUACCAGUGCUAUCGGUGGAGGAGGAAUGGGUUGUUAAGCUUCGGGAUGGAUGGGUGGCGGCAGAGCUGUUGGACCCUACUGCACUACUCUAACUAUUGGCUUACAGACUCUUCUGUCCAGCAUCAGCUGACCUGAUAGUUGUUGGUGGGUACAUGAAUGUCAUGACACAUCACAGGUCCCAGGAUUAGGCCUUCUGAGAAGCUGCAACAGUACAUUGUAGAUUGACUGAACGCUGAACGGCACGCAGCAAACACCUCCAAGGACAAGGACAAUGCGGAGAGCAUGAAUAAAUGACCACCAUCUCAGCGGAUGCUUUGUACAGGAGGAUACGUGUCCUGGGUAUCUCUCAUUUCCUGUAGCUGAAGAAAUGUUCUUUUUUGCUUCGUUACAUCCUGCUGACCACUCGCUGCUGUAUUUGUCCAGAGCCGGUGUCGUACAGCUCAGCCCUUGCCCUCCCCUGAGCCGCACCAGAGGAGCAGUGAACAAGCAGCUCCUAGUCAAAGGAGCUGGAAGGACAGACUUGGGCUCUUUUCUCACCCUGCUGUGAACUCGGUCAUAGCCAGUGAUUUGGGUCACGCCUUGAUCCCUGCUAGACCAAGCUGCAUGAGCUAUGGAAAGCAAGCUGCUUUACAGUCAAAUGACACUGGGAGUUCCUCUAUCACUCCAUCUUUUCUGCCUCAGGCAAUGCCCUCGCUCUUAUUUCAAGCUCUUUCCCCCUACACGUGUUUGACCUGUUUGGGAGCGGAGUCGGGAGUGUUUAAGUUAUGUGGCCAGCAGGACUGGAGGAGCAGCCUGCUCCAAGCAGAGCUCCCCCUCAGACUACUUGCAGUCAUAUCCAAAUGGCAGCGGGGAAGAAAAUGGCUAAUUGUAUGCUCUCCAAUUUUCUCUAUUAGGAAGAUCAAAAGAAUUGCUGCCUUUACUGGCAAAUCUCAAGGAUGAAUUGUGGCAGCCAGACCUGUACUGGUCUGUGUUGAACUGUAGUCACCCAGAAUAAAUCAGCACUAAUUGCAGUCUAGGGCUGCGAUUCCAGAGGGGCUGCUUAAGUACCACGCAGUGACGCCGACUGCCUGGCCGGUAAAACCAGUGGCAAAACUCCCAGGGACCUCAGGAGGCGCAGGACUGAGGCUGCACCCUUGCCUGCUUUAAAGCCAAAUAUCUUGUUACCUUUCUGAGGAAACAGGAUGGCUACAGCGAUGUGGUGAGCACUGUGAUCCCACCUUUGGCGGUGCGUAGCUGCCCCUGUGUUGUGGGAUCCAGAGGAAGGGCAAUACCUUGGCUUUCUGGCCACAGGAGACCUGCACAAAGUUGCUCUGGUGGCCUUGGAGAAGAUGGGGUGGCUGCUGGUUCAGGUUCUCAUCCUUUCUCAGCGUUACCCACGGCGAGAUCUGCCACCCGCCACUACAGAGGCAAUCUCCUGGCCCCAUGGCUGGCUGUGGCACCAGCCAGACCAUCCAUUUCCACCAUGGCCGAGCAAAUUUUUCUUCUGUUGCUCUCACCUGAGACGAUUCCUCUUCUUCUGCGCCUCCCUCCAGAGGCGGCAGGUGCUGCCACAUGAGUAAUCAUGGCUUAGUCAUGUUUGUCACAGGAAUGCAGAAGGAUCAGCAAAACAUGGUGUCCACAAUGCAAAAAGACUUCUAUUACAUCAAAUUUUAUUUUAAUUUCAUUCUCGCUGAAACUAUCUUUGAAACUAAUGCGGCUUUAAAUACAAUGAAAUAGGUAUAUAUAAAUUCAGAUUUUCCUCAUAAAGGACAGGCAGGAAAAGGAAUUCAAGUCAGUUUAAAAGCCUGACUAGCCUGAAGACACGAGCGCCAGACAAUUUUGAAGAAACUUUCUUUACUGCUAUAAAGGGAAUUGCUUUUUCUUCAGAAAAAUGAGGCAAGCAUUGGGAAAAACAUCAGUGCAAAAGCACAAACGCGGUCUGCAGGAAAGCAAGGGGAGCUAAGCCACCUUCCCGCUGACAAGAACGUCGGGCACGAGCUGAACCGAACCAGCCGUGGUGGGGCCUUGCUGAACGGCAUGUGGAACAGGUGGGCUGGGGUCCGACAGCGGGGCGAUUGCGCAUCGUUUUGGAUUCUAUCCAGUUUUGUUGGCCUCGCGUUCCCGGAGGUGAAGGAGCCUCCGUUGCCGAUCCAGCUGAAACACGUGUUACUGGUUUCUAGCUGUAGUUGCUCUGAAGGCCUGGAAAGCAGUUAUGUUGGCAAAGGGGAAGCGUUCACAUCACAGUCCCUGUCAGGCUCUACAAGUCUAAGCACCUAGGAAUUAAAAGCACACCUACAGCCACAAUGGAAGUGAAGCCGAAGUCAAACCGGCCGUGGGUACCACGCAUGGGCUGGCACCGACUGCGCUGUCCACACACGUCACUGCGAUCUCUGGUACGGGGGAAGAAAUCGCCACCAAACUGGGCACUCUGUACUACCAAACUGGGCACUCUGUACUACCAAACUGGGCACUUUGUACUACUACAAGGUGUUACGCUUGCAGGAGGUAAGCAAUCUCCAAGAUGCAACAUGAGCAGUGCAACAACACGGCCAUGGUUAGACCUUAUCUCAGCAUCGAUACUGCAUCAAUGUUGAAAUACUGACAAGCAAACAUACGCAUUAUUUCCAUAGUGUGUCUCUCCAGGUUGUGUGCAAGGUCCUCUUUCAGGAUCCUACCUGCUCCUGUUCACUUCAGUAGCCACAGUGCUGGCAAAAGUGAUGAAGAAAGGGAUUAUUUGAAGCAAAUCAUCUAAACCUAAUCUGCGGAUGAAAUCUUCUUACUGCGUUGAGCUGUGGCUGAUGGAAAUGGGGAACGAACACUGACCUAGUGUUCGUCAGCAAAAUUUUGGUGGACACGUAGUAAUGGACUUCACCCUACGCUUGCAUCCUAAGCCAAUUGCUGUGCAGAUAAAAGCAGCCCUUUCAAGCUGUUCUUUUGGGUUUUAAAACUGAGAAGGCUUCACUAGAGAACCUGAUCUCUUGUAGUGUUUAUUCUCACCAACCAAGAGCAGCAAUUAAUAUAUCUUUCAGAUGGUGAGAAUCUCUUUCAGAUGGUGAGAAUAAACAGUCUUGUAGACAUGCAGAGGAAAUGGAAAUGACAUAGGAAUUUUAAUUAACCUACUUUUCCUUGGCUUUGCUGCAUAGUGCCAAAAUAUAGCAAUGUGGAUCCUUCAGUUAUGUACCCUGGCAUCUUCCUGGGCUGCUGGCUUUAGUUGAAAGCAAGUGAGUUUCACGUGCAUACCUGAGAUCCAUGUGGGUUUUGUGGGUUGAUUACCAGAAAGGUGCCUGAACCCUUAGUGCUUUUUCUCCAUCUGCAUAUACACCAAUAUUUUGAAGAUAUCCCUGUUUUUAAACACAACCAUAUAAUCGAGAAAUCUCUAAAUUAUAUCAUUUAUUGUGAUACCUCUGACCUUCGCUCUCAUCACAGUCUCAAGCAGUGCGUGGUCUUCCCUGGAUGCUUCGUGUGCAUUGAUAUAAAACAGUAUGGCGGAAAAUGUGAUGUCAUCUACAGCUGCCGGGCGGAAUUUCAAAGCAGAAGGCAUUAACCCUUUCUAGCAAAAUCUCUCCUGCGAAGGACAAAUGUCUUCUUGUCUGAACAGCAUACUCAGCCUAAUUAUUUACGUCUGUACCCGCUUGCCAGCCCCAGUUCUCGCUGGGAUAAACUGGCACUGCUCCAUGGAAGUCAGAGAAGCUGUAAUUCUCACUGCUGGCAGCAGAUAAUUUUGACCCUUUUCCGUGGACUAUGCUUUAUUUUAUCAACUUCAUGUCCUCCGACAUCUGGUACCAUAAAAGCGUUCAGCCACAGAGAUGGGGUUUCUAUAAAUAUAUUUCUCCCAUAAGGAGAUUGACAGCGUUCAAGUCACAGUGUUUCGGAGCCGUGUGGGAGGAGGGAGGAACAAGGUGAGGGGGGAGGCAAGGUGUCUUAUUUCCCCUCUCACCUCCUUCAUCUUGAACCCUGAUGUCCUCCAGGAUGUGUUUUUAGUGUUAACGGCAAAGGUGCUCCAAAGCGGCCGGUAAAUGUGGGUCCCAGAUGUGCUAAUUCUGCCUGGGCCAGGCAGGGGAACGUAUGUAUUAUCUCACUCACCAGGGCGCAGCUCUGACAGCUUCAGCUGAGGCUAAAUCUCUGCUCCUGUAUUUCUGCCCUCACUCCCAUCCGCGGGCCCUGGCUGGGCAUCGCCCUGCUCCGGCGCCGAUGCGUGGGCACAGCUGCUCCAUCGCGGCUCUGAGCUGAGGGAAUGUCAGUGGGGUUUGCAAUGGCUCGUCUGCCCCCUGAGCGCUCCGAGCAGCCUCGUACCGGGUCUGUCCGCUGCUGCUGCAAGGGGAGGAGGUCGGGGGGGCUGUAAAAUGGAACUAGACAGUGCACUAGUGUAGGCAGCCAGUCAGCAGUGAUGGGUCCUGCCUUUAACCUGCUUUGAAGGGUGUGUAAAUCGAAGAAAAAAAUCUCUAUCCCUUUUCAUAUACCCCUUACCAUGUAGACAGACGGCCUCAUGGGUGACUAGAGGUACCAAAAAUGUCAUUGCGUGAAAGGUGUAGGUAUAUAUAACAUGUAUUGCUGUCAUAAAAGAUGAGGAGGUUGCCCUUUCUUUUGUUCCUCAAAAUACAGCUCUUGAGAUCCGCAGCAUGUGCUACUGUACUAUUGAUUUACUGCUUGAUUAUAAUGACAUUUCAUAACACAAGUGUUAUUAAAGACUUGUUAAUCUUGCUUAAGGAUCAUAUUCCUCAAAAUGUUUGAGCAAAAUGCUUUGCGUUUAUCUUUAAGUACGUAUUUAAAUAAACUCAGAUGACUUGCUGUAUCAAGGUUUUAAUUACCAGUUGCUCUCCUUAGUGCAGAGCCUGUGGCUUCUUUCACGUUCUUACGGGAUUUCUGAAGUUUUACUAAAGCCCUAUUACACUUCCAGGAUUUCUCUCACCCCUUCUCUCUCUCUGUCUCUCUCAAUCCCAAUGCAAAGAGGACAAAUGCUUUCUGAAGUACGCCUGACUCAAAGGUAAGUGGAUUUUGCUGAGGUUUAUAAAAGGGAGCUAUUCUAUGGUGGAUUAACAGCAGUCCUUGCCAAUUAGCACAGAAAAUAUUUUUCAGCAUACGGGACAUUGACAAGUGAGUGCUGUGUGCACUAGGCAUGUGGUCCUUGUUAUUAAACAUCUACGUUGUGCCAGGGUCUAGAGGUGGCAAGAAGCUUAGAGUCCCGUUGUCCAGGGGACUUUGCAAACAUAGAGAACAUCCCCAGUCCAGAGCAGACAUUACACGGUGUCUUCAGUUGUUCGUACAACAGCAGCAACAUCUUCUUCAACAGCAUUAUCUACGAAUUUUUUUGUGUUGUCAUUAUUUACUUGACUGUAUUAGGUGGGCUUGUUUUUAAAUGACAAUACACUUUGAGAUGCUUCAUGAGGGUAUGCAAUUAUUUCUGCUACUACCAUCUGUGAAUGCUUAUGUGCAGAAGGAGGUGCUGAACUCAGGUUUUCUGCCUGUUGUGCCCUAACCGUGAGCAGGAGCGAGUCUUAACAGCCUUAUCCAAAACUUUUUGAUGUGAGUGGAAAGAAUCCUACAACCUAGUACCAUAGGGCUCUCAUGAAAUACUUGCACUGAGGUCUUGACUGUGUAUCUAAUCUUUGCAGUUUACCUUAGUUCAAAACCUGAUUUUACCUGAAGUAUAAACAACUUGUAGGUGACAUUUUCUGUUAAAUCUAGUCCUAUGUUUAGCUUAAGUUUGCAGUAGUCCAGACACAGAGCACAUAUCCUUUAACUGGGACUUUGCCAUUUUUAAGAACUGUAGAAAAUUGAAUGAGAAACUCCAAAAAAGUCUGAAGCCCCUCCUCUCCUGGUAAUGUUUGAAGUGGGCUUUCUGUCUUCUUGAAAUGCUCACGAAGUCUUUUCAUGUUGGGAUCACAUACUUCUUACAGAAUGUUAGGGAAAGUUUAGGGAAAGUAGUUGAUGAAAGGCAUAUAGGCAUCUCUUAUUUUGGCAUGGUGCUCUAUGUCUUACGACGGGUAAAGAGAAAGUGAUUGGUUUUUCAGAGUCCUUGGACAGCUUGUGUGUCUGUUUUCCCCUGGAGAGGUGAAGGACAGUGGAAGGAGGAGAAGCUACCUUAUGUCUACCAGGGUGAGAGCCUGCAUGCCAGCCACUGCUGCAGAGCAGCCAAUGUGCUCUACGUUUACACCUUUGUGUGGAAAAUUCACAAGCUGCUUUGUGCCAGAUUUCCAUAGGUGAAAAGAAGAUGGGAGAGGUCCCAAAACUGCAAGAGAGGGGAUCGUGCACCGCCGAGCUCCGCUUCGACCUUCUCCCUCCUCCUUCGCCAUUGACGAGCUUUGCUUCAGGCCCCCCGUUGACCGAUAAGUAAGAGAAGAAGCCCUUAAGCAAAAAGUCUGACCAAGCCCGAAGUUUCCAGCAGAAGGAAGCGGCAGAUCCGUGAGGUGGUGACUUACUAACGUGUGCGCGGGGAGACACGUCUGACCGCUCCUCCAGAAACCCUGGUGGUUGCUUCGGCGGGAGCAGAAGCUAGUAAUUAGUCCAAUAAUGUGGAGACAUUGUUACUGCAGCUCAUUAAAUUUGGCAAUGCUCACUUGGACCUUUGAGUGCUGGCGAUGUCAAGUUGACCUGAAAUGCAAGGAUUCCAUCUGUCGGGAAUUACUGAUGAAUUGGCAAUUAAAUAUAAAUAUAUAUAUAUUUAACUCAUUACUUGUGCUGGAUUGACAGUCCUGCAAGCGCUAUCAUUUUAUGUUCAUCGACAGACUAAUAAAGCUUCCCCUGGGCUCCCUUCCUCAUGUGGAGGGACCGGCAGCAGGGAUAAGAGGAGAAUCAGAUGCCACAGGGAUUUAAUUUUCGUUCUGUCUGUAGACUACACUGACGAGAGUGUCAGUUUGGGCUGGGGUGAAGCGAAUAUCUGGGCUAACAGAGACAACUGAUGCCGUGUGGAUAACCAGACAGCCCUGAGAUGAUGCUGGCUCUCGGCUGUUAUUGCCUGUUGUUGAACUGGUGGCCGAGAAACGGAUCUCUGUCCUAUUUCCCAGCAGCUUCCAGUCAUGGACAGGGGAAUUUAUUCACCACUGCUUAAGAUUGUCUUCUCUUGCAGCAGAAAGUGGAGAGAGGUAGCUAUCCCUUAUGUUCGCUGUGGGUUCCUGGGGAAAUGGCACCCAGGAGCGAUGAAGAGGAGGUGAGGAGCACAGGAACUCUCAGUCCUGGAUUACGCUGCCAGAGUAACACCGAGGUGCCAGAACAUCGUUUGCUGGUGAUGCCUCGCACAGGCAUGCUGUUGAGAUGUGCCGUCCCAUUUCUGGCUCGGUGAGUUGCUAUUGCAGCAGGGAAGAUGUAACAGGGAAACUUUAGUACUUUUUGACUCCCGCAGACAUCAGGUUAAUUUGGGAUCUCAGUGUUAGGUCCCCCACCUGCAUCCUCAGCGAGUGCCGGGCCUCGGUGCUGUGGAGCGUGAACCUUACAUGUUGGCAUGCGUUGGACUGAGACCUCCUCCUUCUGCCUUUGGAGGAAAGGCAGAGCCGUCCCAUGGCUCGAAAUUAAAAGAUUCAGCCUGUACCAAUAGCUUACGUUCCAGCAUCACCGUAAUUUGUUAUGGCAAGAGGAGUCUGAGGAAAACAAAAGAAAAAACCCCAAAACUGUGAAGGGAGGGAGAAAUAACUGAGAGCCCAGAUUCAAGGCUGUCCAAGCUGCUCCUGAGGCAGCCAGGGGCAGAUGGUUUGGUGGGAGAUGAAGUGAGCACAAAGCCACCAAAGUCUAGGAUCUCUCUAAAACGUCUUCUCCUCAGACAGUGUCCUCUCGCCACAUCUGUUGCAGACUUGGUCAAUUUACCCACCGGCCAAAUAAUGUCUUCCUGCCCCAGAAAGAGAGAUCUCUGGAUAGUUCACCCCUUAAAUACAGAGCUGCAAGGUUUGCCAAACGCAGUCUUUAAAUCCUGUGUCUUCAGACACUUGCUGUUGCAUCAAAGCCCUGCUGACUAUCUGGGCCUAAAUCCACCUUUAGAAACAGGAAUUACUGGAUCCAGGCAUAGGGAGGCACAACAGAGCAGAUGAAAUGGCUAAAUAUUUAAUAAUAAAGAUUGUUCACACAUUUCCAGCUUAAUGUUACUGGCCAAGGAAAGCUGGAUGUUUCACAUCAGGUUAGCAGGAUAUUGCAAUAUUUUGGCUGCUUAUCUGAAGUGGAAUGAAUGGAACUGCCAAAGCUUUUGAAGUUCACUCAUGAGAUAAUAUUUUAUUAAUUUUCUGAGCUGAGGGCACUUUAGCAUCUCCUGUGAGUCUUCUGAAUAUUAAAUGCAUGGAGCUGUAUAGGCAGGACUCUUUCAACAUUCGCUCAUUCACUGUUUAAAAGCGUCCGCUUCCCAUAAAUUGAGAGCAGUCUCCUUGGUUUUCCGAGAGUUAUCUUCCCUCCAAUAAAUUAGAAAGUAUAUCAAUUUCCUACUUAUGCCCUUUGAAUUCAAAGCAGGAGCUACUUAAGCGCAAGGGAAGAUGCAGUCUGUGUUUGUCUUGUUUGUCUGUCUGGUCCACAGAAAAUGUGGUUUAAGUCAGAAUGAGCUACUGUGCUUCAACUCCAGCUGCGAAAAUAAUUUUAUUUUAUGAAAGCACCCAGUCUUUUAGUCCCGCUCCGAGCUACCCUGGCCUUCAGCUGGAGUCCAGCGUGCAGAGCAGAGGAGGGAAUUGUAAGACCCGACCGCUGCUGUGCACGGUACCAGCAGGACCAGCCCGCCCGGUCGCACCCCAGCUCUCACGCCUGCUAAGCCAAGGCUCAGCUCCGCCAGCUCCGACGCAGCAGCGAGAUGGCUGCCCGCCUAGUUGCAUCACCCCGGGGAGAGCAGGCUUGCUCCUGACAUGGCAACAGGUACCUGCAGGAUGAUUUCCAUCUCUGGAUGCAUCAAUUUAACGUCGAAGAGCGCUAACUCGGGUAGUGGAGGCGCACCGCUCUCCCCUCCUCGACCGUCUCUUGUGCAGCCACAGCGGCAACAUUGGAAACCAGGCUUGGUCGGCCGUUCACUCCCCUGCAGCAUGUCUGGAUGCACCAAAGUCCUCUGGAGCCUUGUUCCUUCUCAAAGGAUGGCAGCACACCCCUCUGCCGCUCUGCGUACCGUGGCCGGCCUAGAAGGUAAAAGUCAGGUUGAUCCCAGGCUAAAGGACGUCAGGCAUGGCACGCAAUCUGUGGCAGGGAGAUAGUUAACAUCCUCCCCCUCUGCAGGGAGAGGUUGCAGCUGCCUAUCCAGCCUGCCAAACUGAAAGGGGAUCCAGCCCUCGGGGAAAUGUGUCUGGAGUUAUUUAAUCCCAAAAGGAUUAUAAAGAGAGUGCGCUCUAGGGAAUCUCUCAAGCCCUAUGCCUGUUAAACAAAACCAAACCCCCAAACCGACAACUCCUUUCCCCCUGAUGGUUUGCAGCAAUAGAUACCCCUGAACUUUCACCGAAAUACGUUGAAAGGGGCAGCGGGGACGUGGUCAAAUCGUUUUCGCCGCGCUCCCCUCUCGGCCCGCCAGCCCCCAUUGAGGCAGUCGGUGAUGCUCCUCUGGAAACCUUCUUCUGCUUUGGCUUCCAUGGUGCUAUCAUUUCCUGCCUCCCCUCCUACCUCUUUAAUCUCCUUCAGCACGUCCUUUGGAGGACCUUCUUAUCUCCCUCCAACUUUUGUAUGGGUUUCAUCGGGCUGAGGCUUUUAUCCCCACCUCUUCCUCCUCUGUAUCUUAUCCCUGGUUAAUCUCAGCCGUGAUCCCUACUUUGCCUGUUCAUCCGUUCUGUUUUCGACUUGUGUUUAGACUGUAAACUUCAGAUAGGGCCUGUCUUUUUAUUUUAUACAUUUACAGUACCUCCAGGAACAUGAAAUCACAGACUGGAUUUAACUCAUCAAACAGAAUAAAAACAUUAAAAGAAAGCUAGUCUAAAAGGUUGCAUGGAAAUAUCUUUCUCAUUUUCAGCAGCAAUCCAAGGCAGCGAAGCUUUCAUUUGUAUAAACACGUGAGCAUCACACUCCUGCGCAGCACAGCAGGAUGGAACAAAACCACCGGUUCACCCCCUAGCAAGUCACCCAUUGCCUCGCCAACAGCAGGCAUGAAUUUACUGGUGAGGAGGAAGAAGAGGUCCUGUUUCUUCAAUGAGUAGCACCAAGAAGUCUUGGUUACCCUGGCUACAUGGGAGAUCAGUGUGGUUACAGUGGUGCCCAACUGCUGCCAUGCACACCAUAGUUAGCUCACAUCAUGCGAGGGAUUUUUUUUUUUUAAGGAGCUGUGACAAUGGGGUGUUUUGUCCAUUUUUUUCUGCAUUCCUCUUUGGAGCGUCCUGAGAAGCACUAAAUGUUCUGUAAAAGAAGAACAAUCUGGGUGUCUUGAUGUGCACACAUUUUACAGCCGGUGGGCUCUGGUCGGCACUUUUUUCUUGAGUCCGUUGAGACCUUCAGUGAAGUUUCUUGUUCCCAGGCAGGUAUCUAUUCCUGCCUGCUUUACCUGAUCUCAUUCAGAAGACAAAAACAAUGUUUUGAUUUGUUUCUCCUUUUUUGGAGGAGCUUCCAUCCUUUCCCACAAUCUCUCCUCUAAAGAGCUAUAGAAGCUAGUAACUGCCUCGUUAAUUUUAAACAGGUAUGUCCCUGUAACCACUUAUCUCUGACAGCUGCAAUUAACCUCCAGCCAGUGCGCACUCGCUUAGGCAUUUGGCUCCUUGAUUCUUGUGGUGUUUCCCAGUGAUGCAGGAGGGUGCCAGGAUCUUCAUGGAGCCCGGUCGUGCCGUACAGGUGUCCUCCUCCUCUCCCAGCAGCCCGGAGCUCCCACACGGCUGGCGCCCGCCUGAGCUCUCCUGAGUUUUGAAUACAGCUGACCAUAGGCGGUAACCCCACCUUACCAUUUCCUUCUCUACUUCCCAGACCUUCACCUCUACGUAGUUUUCUUUGUGGUCUUUGCCACCGAUGAGGGAAUCUGGCCCUCUAGGCAUCUUUGAAGUUUUUCCCAUGACAUACAUGAGGAAGUAGCAGAUGGUUUAUUAAGAUCUAGUAAACCAUUAAUUCACUCAUUCAGGACCCAAUUAAUUCCUUUUGCUGCAUCUUUUAUCGAGCCACCUCUGCUCUAUUGACGGGAUGAUUACCUGUUUCUAAGAGUAACUGCAAAUUACCCAACCACCUGAUAUUUCCCUGAAGAAAGACAAAUGAUAAAUCGAUCGAUAGAGGAAAAGUACUUUUAGAGUGAAUGACACAUGACUCUGUGCAGGAAAUAGCUAGAGAAAGGCAACAAGCUGAAUGGGAAAUACUGGACCAGAAUCUCUGGUCUGGUAUGGAGAUGUGGCUCUACUCAUUGCACAUUCUUAGCAAAUUUGACUUGCUGCCUCUUGAUGUUGCACUCGGGGCCACUGCUGUUACUUACGUGUGGCGGUAAAAUAGUUUCCAUAAUGAUAACAAUAGCAGCUGGUCGUUAAAAUUCUGAAAUAAUUCGUAUGGAUAAUUUUUGUAAGCCUUGUGUCCGCUAGGACUGGAAAUGUGCCAUCUAUUCUUUGCAGUUCAAUCUUGGAGGUUGGGCAAGGCUCUUUUUCCAUUUCUUUGUCUUUCCGAACCUCAGUUUCCCCUUCUGGAAUAAAAUGGGAAUAAUUUUGCUGCAGAAUAAGAGUUAGACAAUUAGCCAGAGUACGGGUUAAUUGGCAUAUAACAAGCCUGUUGUGGGGGAAUGUAUGGAGACUUAUGUAUGGACUACUGAGAAUUAGGAAAUGGUGCUCCACCUUGCCCUUUAUUUCCUCUUUUGUUCUGUGCGAGUUUUUCCUCACUCUGUUAGUGAUGGUGUUAAAUGAAGCUUGCACUGCUAUGAGUAGUGACUUUAUUUUUACUGACUUGAGCCAUGUUGACUUUGGAAAAAGUAGCAAUACCUGCCUGUGAAGUGUAAUGAAGGACUCUGACAGUUCAUGGUACUGUGAUGCCUUAUUACACUAUGGUAAGCAUAUAGGAUGAUUAGUUCUACCAUUAAAGUCCUAUAUAGGCACUGUUUGUCCCAUACACAUGCUGCUUUCAAACACCUGCAAGCAAAAGAGGUAUUUCAGGAAUAGUAGAUGUAUUUGUACUGUACAAAUCCACAUGGUCCUGACCUUUGAGUGAGGAGAUAUAGUUUUUUAUUUCCUGGGAAUUAUCUUGUGCUUUAGAGACACGGGAACUGGCCCGAGGAACUUGCCGUCUGGAGACCUGAUACUGCAGCUGGAGGGGCACGGGGAGACACCUGCGCUGCUGCAGACCCAGCACUUGGGGCUUUGCUUUUGUAGGUCCACAGAUAGCACUAGGGCCCAGAAAAGACGCGCAGGGACAUGGCAACGCAGAAGGCAACUUCUCCUAGGGUGCCAGAAGGUAGGGUAUCUGAAGAGGAGACUAUUUUAUACAAUAACUGUGAUGGCACCGGGGCCAUUUUGUAGAUCCAAAUUCAGACAUUGUAUGAGCUAUCCCAACUCUGUUGAAAUGUAUAGGCUUGCACACAAGAGCAUUGAUGCCAAAUUUAUCCGCUACCUUUUAAAAUUGUAGGAGUGUUUCUUCGCAGCAAAGACCUUUCUUCCUGGACUCUUUUUUAAGCUUUGCAUGUGUUGUAAUCCCUCCUCGAGAUACCCACCUUUAUGCCUUUGGUAUUUAAAUUUGAAAGAUGACUUUAGACAUCUCACAUGUUCAGCAGCAGAUCGAACCCUCAGCCUGGCAAGUCUUGUUCAGUUUAGAAGUAAUGACAAUGUUAGCAAUUGUUAGCAUAGAUGGCACUCUAUUUAACUAGUUUAUUCUAUAAUAGCUGAAGCAAACCUCUAUAAGUGUUCAAUUUAAACUGGUAUAUGCCCCAUUUUAAAUGAGUUAGCAAAUAUCUGUGGUGAAAUUUUCAGUGUUAAUUUAAACUGAUUUUGGUAAAAUCUGAGCUCCUCUAAUACGCAACACCUAUACUUUCCAUUUGCCUCUCUUGGCGAAGAGUGAUUUAAAGCUGAUUUUUCUUAACCAAGGAGACAGAGCUAAUGCAAUAAGCUGCUUAAGAUUUCUGUAAACCAGAAACAUUAACCGGGAUAUCUCAAAUGCUAAAACUAUUUCAGCGCACUUUUCUUCAUUCCCGUUAUCAUAAUUGCCUGUGUGUUUUAACGGGGUGCAUUUUGAAAUGCUGUGGCUGCACAGUGUCAGGCUAACGGAGGAGAAAGCACCCCUCUUUCUGCGAGCUGCCCCUCCAACCUGCACGUGGUCCCACACGCUGCAGCCCUGAGCCGGCGUGCCCGGCGUUCCUGGCUGCCGACAGCCCUUGCGGUGGGGAGGGAGCCGCGCUGUAAAUCACUCUCACACAUUAGCGGGGAGUGUUUCUUCUCACCAAUGAUUACGGUUGCGCCCUUAGUUGAGGAGGUUGUUUUGGGGCAGUAAAUUGUGCCGUGGGUUAUCUCUGUCUCCCUCCCUCUCCGGCUUUCUUUUUCUCGCUGGGUAGGAAAUGGCUGUUCUGAACGGCAGAGCCCCUACGGCCUCCUGGGCUUUGCCAUCGUCUUUUGUUUCCAUUUUUGCAAAAGAAGCGUCUGAAAGGGGGAUUGAGAGGACCUGGCUCUUUGUAUUAGAAGUACAUAAAUUACUAUAUCCCAGGUUGUGAUCCGAACUCUGCAUCUCUCAGACGAAGUUAAAGCAGCGGCUGCCGUAGCGGAGGGUGGGACUGCUGACAGCCGCCCCGCGCAGCGCUGGGCAGCACCGCUUCAUCACCUGAUGCAUGUGAAAAGCAUCCGCGCUCCGAAAACGGGAACCAGCGUCGGACGGGGAAACUCAGGGGGCUGCUGAUGGGGGACAAUUUUGCUCAGGACUCUACAGAAGAUUAAAAAAAAAUUAUCUUGACAGACUAUUUGCUUUUGCCACUGUAGCCUUCAAACGGUACGUGAAGUUGGACAAUGUGAGAACUAUCGGCCUCGUGACCUGGUGGUGCAUAAAUCUCCCCGCCCCGUUCCCAUCCCCUUUGCAUCUUGUCGUCUCCUCCAGCGCCGUGCCCAGCCCGAUGUGAGCAGCGGUUUAAACACCUCCCGGUAUUGCACUUGGCGUCUCACCCAGGGCACUUUGCCCUGGAUGGAGGCAAAGCCUUUGUGGAAGCUGGCCUCCAUACCUGAAAUGUCACCCCACGUGCUGGUGCAAGCUAGCUCUCACAGAAGUGGUCAUGCUUUACGUGAGGGGCAGGCUUUAUCAAUAGACUAAGCUGGACCCAUGGCUAAUACAGGAUAAAUAGAUGGUUUAGUAUAUGGUUAGUCGAUUAAUAUAGAGGACAGGAGGUCAAUGGGCUUCUCUCAAUUUCUGUAACGCUUGUAUGCUUAUAAGCAUUUAUAAUACAUAAUAUUCAUGUCUGUAGCAAGUUCGUAGUAUCUGUUGGUCAUUUAUUAACUCUUUAUAAAUGUUGCCUUAAAGCAAGUUAUGAGUCAGUAGAUGAUGGUUAGAACUACUCAAAACCUUCCUUUUCUUUUCUCUAUCAGAGAAUGAAAAAUCAAUGCAUUCUGGAUUUCAGUUACAAAAAAAACCCACCCAAAACCAAACAGAAUGAAAAGGCUGCAAUGUGGUCCAGACAUUCCUUACAAACCUUGUCAGACUGGACCGUUUUGGUGUCUCGUUUAACUAAAACUUCACUGAAAUACUUAUUUUGCAUGCUCUGUGACAAAGCAUAACCUCUUAUGAAGCAGAUAUCCAAACCAAAAAAACAUGUUUUGAUGUUACUGGAAAACAAGGUUUUCAUUGAUCCAAACUGAGCUUUGCGGUUUUUGGAAUUUUCAUUUUGCAGGAGAUUAAAAAAAGAUCUUAGUUUUCAUUCUUGUUCUGCUUAGGAACACAAUUAACUGGAAAAAAAAUGGAAUUCCCUUAGCAGCUAGCAAGUCUAGUGUUUCUGCAUGCUUCUCUGAAAAAUAAAUGGGAUUACUUUGUUUAAAAACUGCUUUUAGCAACCUCUGUUAGAGCCCUAAAAUGCACAGGAGG